rnacentral:rRNA from 1 species
UAACACGUGGAUAACCUACCUAUAAGACUGGGAUAACUUCGGGAAACCGGAGCUAAUACCAGAUAACAUGUUGAACCGCAUGGUUCAACAGUGAAAGACGGUCUUGCUGUCACUUAUAGAUGGAUCCGCGCCGCAUUAGCUAGUUGGUAAGGUAACGGCUUACCAAGGCAACGAUGCGUAGCCGACCUGAGAGGGUGAUCGGCCACACUGGAACUGAGACACGGUCCAG